rnacentral:rRNA from 1 species
CCUACGGGGGGCUGCAGUGGGGAAUAUUGGACAAUGGGGGGGAACCCUGAUCCAGCCAUGCCGCGUGUGUGAAGAAGGCCCUCGGGUUGUAAAGCACUUUCAGUGAGGAAGAACGCCUGGUGGUUAAUACCCAUCAGGAAAGACAUCACUCACAGAAGAAGCACCGGCUAACUCCGUGCCAGCAGCCGCGGUAAUACGGAGGGUGCGAGCGUUAAUCGGAAUUACUGGGCGUAAAGCGCGCGUAGGUGGCUUGAUAAGCCGGUUGUGAAAGCCCCGGGCUCAACCUGGGAACGGCAUCCGGAACUGUCAAGCUAGAGUGCAGGAGAGGAAGGUAGAAUUCCCGGUGUAGCGGUGAAAUGCGUAGAGAUCGGGAGGAAUACCAGUGGCGAAGGCGGCCUUCUGGACUGACACUGACACCGAGGUGCGAAAGCGUGGGUAGCAAACAGGAUUAGAUACCCUGGUAGUC